rnacentral:lncRNA from 1 species
AAUUUUCAAAAUGGCUGCCAUUGCCAUGGAAACGGUAUAAAUGUGAAAUACUUUAAAAUGCUCUGAAUAUACUGAAAAUUUACAAAAAGAUGAAUAGCCAUGCAUAUUUGUGCAUUUACUGUUAAACAAGUUUGAAGUGGCUGCCGCUUAGUGGCAAUAGGGGGAAGGGUGACAUCCGCUAUUGCUUGCAAUGGCAAUUCUAGUUAUUCUUCUUCUUCCUCUUCUUCCUCUUCUUCCUCUUCUUCUUCCGCCACUUUAAAAAUGAACUUGUCCGCAGC